UAACUAUAUAUAGCCGCAGCCCGCAAUUUGCCAAAUGGGUUGAAAGAAAUUUGAAACGAUAUCUGGAAAAUGCGACUUCAAAACUUGAGCUUUACUAUCUCCUCUCAAUGAAAAGAAUAAGAAAAUAAAUGAAUUAUCGAAAUCGUAAGCUACCAUACGAAGUCAUAUAUGUUUAAUUUAUAACUUCAAGAAAUCACGAGAAGCAAACUAAAAAAAACCCUAAAAUCCACAUACGUCUACUUAUGUGCCAGCUUUCUCUCAAAUAACAAGCGAGCUCAAAGAAAAAAGAUGUAACAAAAGAGAUUCAAAAAGAAUACCUAUACGUCUGCUUAUUUGCCUCUUCUGUUAAAGAAUCUAUGCUUUCACCGCAAUAUGAAAUAGGCAGGAGAUUUUGAGAAGAAUGAAGCUUCACCCUCCGCUACUUCUCCGGGAAAAGACGCAAAGAACAAAGAAUUUUGGGCUUUCUGAAGUUUC
rnacentral:lncRNA from 1 species